AGGUGUUACACUAAACCACACCUGAAUAACAAGAGAAGAACAUGGACACAUAUAGAAGAAACAACGAUUGCUGUGUCAAUGGUAGACAUUCUGGAGAUCCAAACGAUAAUAGUUCUGACUCCACAAGCUGCUGGACACCAAGAUGUUAUUUCUGGAGCAGUCAUCAAGCAAGAUUAACGAUGUGCACAUUUCACAAUGAUGAUACCAAGCCAGAAGACGCCUGGAGAUACUGGUUUCAUAGGUCAAAUCAAAGCUGUCCAGGGCAUGGUUUAGAUUCAGAUCAUCUGCACGAUAGCUCGAUGUGGCCCCCUGACUAACGGGUUACGGCUGCUCCAGGUGAUCACGUGACAAUACCAGUUCCACGUCUUCCUGCUCCGUAAACACCAUCAUCACCAUUGUGGAAUGUACAUCACGUUAUCUUUGACGACGACACGACAAAUAAAGCAAUGUGUUUGGCGUGAACUAUCAGAUUACGACAGCUUGUAAGUGACAACCAUCCUAUUGCAGAGCCAGGCGACAGCUUGUAAGUGACAACCAUCCUGUUGCAGAGCCAGGCGACAGCUUGUAAGUGACAACCAUCCUAUUGCAGAGCCAGACGACAGCUUGUAAGUGACAACCAUCCUAUUGCAAAGCCAGACGACAGCUUGUAAGUGACAACCAUCCUAUUGCAGAGCCAGGCGACAGCUUGUAAAUGACAACCAUUAUAUUGCAAGUGCACGAGUAAGGUUUCGGGGGUCGAUACCUCUACCAGCUGAAGCAAAUUUGCUCUCCCCCUCUAUAAACUGGUCGCCACAGUCCAGACCCCCCCCCCCCCUCCCCUGCUGAAUUCCCCACACAAGCGCCUGAGAAUGUUCUUUAUAGUUGAAUGUAGGAGGCUAUAUGAGAAGAGUAAGCAGCUAUUAUAAACAAAACGUGAAGGGCACUGACAACAGCAGUGGUCUUCAAACAUUGUCACCUGUCUUCUACUGAUGGUCACUAUUGCUUUAGUCGGGGCGCUGACCGACUUUUUGGAUAUAGACCGAGGCAUGGCAGCCACACUAAUAGCAGAAUGAGGGGAGACAACCCCAGGAGAAGCGUGUAACGAGUAGACAGCCCGGAGUCACGUUCAGAAUCUGUGCCAAGUGUUUGCUGACAAAAGGUCUUGGAGAAAUAGCUUUCGAUUAUAAGUCAUAAGUGGACGCUGAGACUUUGUAACUGCUUUUGAUUGAGUAAACUAGUCGGGGAGUGACAGUCCUCUCUAUGGCGAUGCAAGCGGGUGAAAUCUGAACUGUUGUGCUAGUUUUGAUUUAAUACACUAGUCUGAUAAUGGCAGUCCUCUGUGGCGAUGCAAGCGGGUGAAAUCUGAACUGUUGUGCUAGUUUUGAUUUAAUACACUAGUCUGAUAAUGGCAGUCCUCUAUGGCGAUGCAAGCGGGUGAAAUCUGAACUGUUGUGCUAGUUUUGAUUUAAUACACUAGUCUGAUAAUGGCAGUCCUCUAUGGCGGUGCAAGAGGGGUGAAAUCGCCAGUAAAAUAUCUCCUCAGGAGUGGCUGUCCUCCUAUAGAGGAGGCACUAGACAGUGAUUAGGGGAAUCAACCACUAGUUUGCCAAAUUCCUAUUCGACAUACGCCCCUGAUAGUGUAUUACGGUUUUGUCUUUUAGAUUCCAAAAAUAUAACCAACUCAAACAAAAAAUAAAAAUAAAUAAAUAAAUACAUCUAAGCAGCAUUUGACCCUUUAAAAAUAUUUUCAUAAUAGUAUUUUCCCAGUGAGCAACUGGUCUGUGAUCAUUUCUCUGGUGACCAAUUGGCUACAUCCAUGGCCAUAGUGAACUGAUGUUCUAAACCAACACUACUGUGAUUGCCCUAGACAUUCUGAUAUUCUCUCUCCACAGUUCGCUAUCAAACGCUUGUGAUAAACCUCUGUCGAAGACUAUUAUUUCUAAAUAAUACUGACGUCACAACCAAACUAGUUGUUUGCAUGACAUUGUGACAUUGUGGUAUUAUGUUUCAUUAUGUGUAUCUGCCCAAGAUCUCGGGGCACGUUAAGUCAAUACUUUUCAUAGUAACAACCACACUUACUACGUCCCUCCGGACUAUACCUACCCAUACCCAGCUUGCAUGAUGAACCAUGUACAUGCCACAGUAGAAAAUAACACAGAACUUUAUUACACCCAGGCUGUUAGGCAACAGCAUAUGGGGAAACAUGAACAAAUACAUAGUAUAAUAUGUGACAAGACAGGACAGGG
rnacentral:lncRNA from 1 species